rnacentral:sRNA from 1 species
GUUCGUAGGGGCGCGGAUGCUUGCAUACGGCGACCUAUGAACUUGAGAAAAUCGCACCUACAUGAGGAAGAAGCGAUUUGCGGAAGCAAAUCAGCGGAAUCCGAAUGUAGGUAGAAUUGCGAGAGCAGCGAAGGCUGCGGAGCAAUUCGU